CCCUGCAUCCGAAAGUGAUCUUGGCUGCCCAUGCCAUGGUCAUUGGUAGUGCAGGGAGAGGAUGCUGAAAGACAUGUUCCUGGGUUUGGGGCGCCCAUCCUGCCCCCUCAAAAGCCUGGAGCUUUCCUACA
ensembl:snoRNA SNORA71 Small nucleolar RNA SNORA71